rnacentral:rRNA from 1 species
GACGAACGCUGGCGGCGUGCUUAACACAUGCAAGUCGAACGGAAAGGCCCUGCUUUUGUGGGGUGCUCGAGUGGCGAACGGGUGAGUAACACGUGAGUAACCUGCCCUUGACUUUGGGAUAACUUCAGGAAACUGGGGCUAAUACCGGAUAUGAGCUCCUGCUGCAUGGUGGGGGUUGGAAAGUUUCGGCGGUUGGGGAUGGACUCGCGGCUUAUCAGCUUGUUGGUGGGGUAGUGGCUUACCAAGGCUUUGACGGGUAGCCGGCCUGAGAGGGUGACCGGCCACAUUGGGACUGAGAUACGGCCCAGACUCCUGCGGGAGGCAGCAGUGGGGAAUAUUGCACAAUGGGCGGAAGCCUGAUGCGACAACGCGGGGUGCGGGAUGACGGUCUUCGGGUUGUAAACCGCUUUCGCCUGUGACGAAGCGUGAUUGACGGUAAUGGGUGAAGAAGCACCGGCUAACUACGUG